AGGAGAGUGCCUAAGGGUCACUGGGAAAGAAAAGACAUGUUUCAAAAUGGCUCAAACUUCUUCUCAAGCAUAACAUCAAUUUUUCAGCCACAUGAAAGAGCACUGUCGGGGUAAGAAAAGCAAAAUUCCUGUCUAGGAACAGCACAUUCUUUUGAUUUUAAUUGAUCCAAGACAGAACCUUGCUGAUAAGGAUCACAGACCUUGAUGCCAGGGAACUAUUUGAACUUGGAGCAAUUUACUGGCACGAGGAGUAUUAAAAAAGCAUAUUCAGUGAUGAGAGGAAAGAAAACUAUUUCUUCCAUUAGACUGGCAAUUGACCAUCUGCUUCAGAGGGUAGUACUUAACCUGGAGGUAAUCAUGCUGAAAUAGCUUGAUGAUAUGUGCACAACAAGUUUAUGGACUUUGGAAAUUAGGUGAUCAGGAAAAAGCAAAAUAUCUUGGAAACUGAAGCUAAGUAUGAGCGGAGAGAAGAAAUGAAGCUGAGUGUGGAAGCAAUUGAGAUUAUGCAGACCUAUUUAAGGGAGAUUUGGCAGUCUGAUUUUCUUUAGCAGUCAUCAAGUUACAGAUGCCACCAUGACUCCAACCUGACUUCCCUGGGCAGACGACCUCACCUAUGAGUCCUGGAACCCCACCUCUCCAGAGCCUUGCCCCACUAGAAAAUAUAGAAACAGGCUGGGGGUAUGGAUCCACUUGCCAACACCCAUGUCCAUUGGAGAAGUAACUACAGAAGCCAGACCUCCCACCUUCUGUGCCCCAUAAUGAUUCUGGGUCCAUGCUCAAAGAGGGAUAAAAGAAUAUGGAAGCUUCCAAUGGAGAGAAUGGGAUAUGCAACUCUGGUGGUGGGAAUUGUAUGGAAUUGUACCCCUCUUAUACUACAAUUUUGUCGAUCAUUAUUAAAUCAGUA